rnacentral:rRNA from 1 species
CGGACGGGUGAGUAAUGUCUGGGAAACUGCCCGAUGGAGGGGGAUAACUACUGGAAACGGUAGCUAAUACCGCAUAACGUCGCAAGACCAAAGCGGGGGACCUCCGGGCCUCGCGCCAUCAGAUGAACCCAUAUGGGAUUAGCUUGUAGGUAAGGUAACGGCUUACCUAGGCGACGAUCCCUAGCUGGUCUGAGAGGAUGAUCAGCCACACUGGGACUGAGACACGGCCCAG